rnacentral:lncRNA from 1 species
GUAGUCGUCCCUCUUUUUCCUCAAUGUUUUACCGGGUGUUUUCUGGUUGCGGUUCCCCGACCUGCCACUGAGUGAAACUCGGCCCCGCGAUUGGACUGAAACUAGACUAGAUGUCAGAGAAUGUGAGUUUAGCAUGCAGGGAGAAAAAAACACAAAGGCAAACCGUUUUUAAAAUAUAUCCAAUAUAUAUCAGUUGUGCUAUAGAUAGGUUUUUCAAACGCCCUCUAGUGGCAUUCGGGGAAAAAGUGAAUUUCGAGAAUCUAGGGUGGAGAAUAGAAUCACAGCAUCUUUGGGAGAGGUUCUUUAGUUCAGCAACUCAUUUGCUAUCUGAAUACCGUGGCCUGAAAUACCCCACAAAAAUAUUAGGCCGCGGAAGAGAGGAACGUGAAAGAAAAAUUUUCGCGACGUUUCCCCACCCCCACCCCAGAUGACCUCGUGUUUUGUAAGAAAUUAUGGACGUAAUUACUACACCAUCCUACUCGCAAAUGGUCCCCAUGGUCUACUCAUCACCAAGCUAAGAAUGCUUCCCUGGGCAGAGACCUUGACAAACUUAAUAUAAAAAUUCGCCAAUCUGGAAUUCCCGUUGUGGCGCAGCAGAAACGGAUCCAACUAGGAACCAUGAAGUUGUGGGUUCAAUCCCUGGCCUGGAUCAGUGGGUUAAGGAUCCGGUGUUGCCAUGAGCUGUGGUGUAGGUCAAAGAUGCAGCGCGAAUCUGGCGUGGCUGUGGCUGUGGUUGUAGGCCAGCAGCUGUAGCUCCGACUGGACCCCUACCCUGGGAACCUCCAUAUGGCACGGGUGUGGCCCUAAAAAAAAAAAAAUCGCAAAUCCUUUGGUACCACGUAGCUGAACCAAGGCCACAUUAACAUUCUGAAGAUCUUUCAGACAUUUGACCUUGAGGCCAGUUCAUGGCCUCUAUCCACCACCCACUUGAUUUGAAGCCCCCCUGAUCCAUUCCAGCAGCAGAAGUGGAUGGAACUGAGUGAUAGACCACCUCCCUAAGACUCAGCCCAAGAAGAGGAGGGACACUGGGCAGUGCCGGCAGCAGAGCGAACGGAAGAGUUGAAAUGGACCAAAGAGAAGAGACAGAGGGAGCAGGAGGUGGCUCCCUGCCUUUGAUUCCUCUGGGCAAUGACCACAUGGCUGCUGGGCCCGUUGACACGAGAUAGAGGAACUGGUUGGGUAAGAAGACCUGCCUCCAAACAUCCCUUCCCCUGAGGAGUUUAUACGAGUUGGAACCUGCCCAAAGCAAAGAACUACUUUUACUUUCUUUUAUGUUAUAUGGGUGUUGAGAGCUACAAAAGCAGUAAAACGACAACGUAGCUGUGGACGGUACCAACACACCCUUCCUGUGGGGCGUGUGAGCAGGGGGUCCCCCUGUGUCUACACACUAGCCAUCGCCAUUCCCUACAAGUCGGGCUGUUGUGUGCCUCUGCACUCUUCCACAGGCUGUUCCUUCAGCCUGGAAUGCUUCCCUCCCAUCUUGUCUGCUUAUUCAACCUCAUUUUUCAUGGCUCACCUUGGAGCUUUUGCUAACAACCCCCCCCCACCCCGCCAACACUAAAAUGACAGGUGACUAAUUGGCUGGAUGUCCCUCUUCCACUUUUUCCAUAACAUCCAUGGUGCCUCUCUCACAGCCUUAUAACACUGUGGGGUAAUUAUUUUAAGUAUGUCCUCUCCACUAGCUGGAGGGUGAGGGUUGUAAUACAUUCACCUCUUUUUCUUCAGGCCUAGGCAAGGUGCUCUUAGCACCUACGUGCUUUUCAAUAAAUAUUUCUGAAGAGAUGAAAAUUAAGGAUAGAAUGACGUUGGGAGUUCCCUGGUGGGCUAGUGAUUAGGACUUGGAGCUUUCACUGGAGCUGUAGCCAGGGUUUGAUCCCUCAUCUGGGAACUGAGACCGCACAUCAAGCCUCUGCCGGCAGUGGCCAAAAAAAAAGAGAACUCUGCAUGUUGAAUAAUUGUCACAUAUUCUUUUGUCCUCAGACUAAAUCUUAUUUAGUAUCCUUACAGCAUCCUAAUAAGGUGCUUACCUUCUGACCCAAACAAUUUGCUGACCUCCUUGUCAGAGUCAUGAGAAAUGAGGUUGAAUAAGGAGACAAGAUGGGAGGGGAGCAUUCCAGACUGAAGGAACAGCCUGAGCGAGAGCGCAGAGGCACACAAGGUCAGGGCUAAUUGGAUUUGUCUAAAGAGAAGACAAAAAAAAGAAGUGGGAGGCGGAGGGAGAGAGAGAGAGAGAGAGAGAACGAUGGGAGAAAGAGACUUAAAGCAGCCAAGCCUUGUCUUGCUGCAAAGUUUACUAGACUCAAUCUGAAUAAAAUUGGAUCAGCAGGCACCAGCCCUUCAGCCCUGAUUUAAGGGACAAAAGAUGUUGAAUGCGCAAUUAGAGAGGAGUGUGGGAAGGAGGGAGGCUGCUGGGAUCUGAAGGACCUGGUCAGGGGAGAGAGUCAUGCCCAUUAGUGGCUAUUAAGAGAAGCGACAUGUGGCCUGCGGCACUCAUGUCCCCACCAACAGCCUCGGGUUCCUAGAAUCUGAGUUCGCUGAGGCCAACCACCCCACCACCUGCUCCUCUGGUGCCACCGAUGAUGGAGUGACUCUGACACCGUUUAUGGCUGCCUUGAGCAAGUUACUUCCUUUGACAUCUAUUUUAAAAGGAGCAUAGCGAUUCUUGUUUGUUGUUGUCAUGAGCUCAGAAGCUCAGAGUGACCAUAAAGCACCCUUAUUAUAAUUUUGUCCAGUAAUACUCUACAGUUAAUUAUAGCCUGUGAGAAUUAUACUUAGCUGCAGAACAAUGAACAAGAGCCCUUCAUGUGUGAAUAUAUUUUAUUCAGGCUAUUUUUGAAAAA